AAAAAAAAAUGCGGGCUUGUACGGGCUUAUCGACCCGCGCAAAUCGUAGGGGUCCGCGACCCAUCGAAAGAACUCCGAGUGGCCCGUAGUGUCAACGAGGCCGGGAACCUGCACUGCUUUUAAACAUUGCACGUGCAGUAAUUCCGUUUUCAGACUUCAAAUAAUAUUGCACUGCGUAGAACAGUAAACUAAACAGAAGACAAACUCACAUCGCCACGGUGCUGU